GACGAACGCUGGCGGCGUGCUUAACACAGGCAAGUCGAACGGUGAAGCGAGUGCUUGCACUCGUGGAUCAGUGGCGAACGGGUGAGUAACACGUGAGUAACCUGCCCAUCACUCUGGGAUAAGCACUGGAAACGGUGUCUAAUACUGGAUACGACCAACCCUUGCAUGGGGUGUUGGUGGAAAGAUUUAUCGGUGAUGGAUGGACUCGCGGCCUAUCAGCUUGUUGGCGGGGUAAUGGCCCACCAAGGCGACGACGGGUAGCCGGCCUGAGAGGGUGACCGGCCACACUGGGACUGAGACACGGCCCAGACUCCUACGGGAGGCAGCAGUGGGGAAUAUUGCACAAUGGGCGAAAGCCUGAUGCAGCGACGCCGCGUGAGGGAUGACGGCCUUCGGGUUGUAAACCUCUUUCAGCAGGGAAGAAGCGAAAGUGACGGUACCUGCAGAAGAAGCACCGGCUAACUACGUG
rnacentral:rRNA from 1 species